UACGUAGGGUGCAAGCGUUAAUCGGAAUUACUGGGCGUAAAGCGUGCGCAGGCGGUGAUGUAAGACAGAUGUGAAAUCCCCGGGCUCAACCUGGGAACUGCAUUUGUGACUGCAUCGCUGGAGUGCGGCAGAGGGGGAUGGAAUUCCGCGUGUAGCAGUGAAAUGCGUAGAUAUGUGGAGGAACACCGAUGGCGAAGGCAGCCCCCCUGGGCUAGUACUGACGCUCAUGCACGAAAGCGUGGGGGAGCAAACAGG
rnacentral:rRNA from 1 species